UGCCAGUGUGAUGGAAUUGGUAGACAUGACGGAUUCAAAAUCCGUUGCCUUCGGGCGUGGCGGUUCAAGUCCGCCCACUGGUA
rnacentral:tRNA from 1 species